AACGAUUUUAUAUUCGAGUGAAUAAAUUUCCAAAAUAGAAAAUUUGGUAUUUCCAAAAUACCAUAACUAAAAUAUGCCAUACGAUUUAACCAACAUAUCCAUUUGAACCAACAUCAUUUAGCAACGGGCUUUAAAGUCAAACCUACUAAACUUCAGCUAAUAAAAAAAAAUGGGCUCAAUUAACUAAAAAUACACAGAAGGGCUGCAACAACCAACAAUGGCCUCACCAGCACCUAAAUCUGCUUAGAAACAAAUUAAAUGGUUUAGGAAUAAAAUAAAAGUUGAAUGGGGUUUUGAAUAUUUUUAUAACUUGAUUGAAUUGGUGUCACAUGUUAAUUGGGUAUCAAUUCAGUUAAAAAAAGUGAAUAUAUCUUUUUAUUAACUGACUACUAUUAUUAUUUUGAUGACCUUUUUAUCUUUUCAUGUUUUUAUAAAUAAAUGAACUAAAAUUAUUAUGCUAGAAACAGAACCCAUUUGUAGAAGCCCAAAUUGCUCGGGCCCAAUUACAAUUAAACUCACUAACCCCUAAAAUCCACUUACAACCAUCAACCCAAUUUAACCUAAUUUCUAACCCAAACCCCUUAACCCAUUUUUAAACCCAAAACCCGAAUGGCCCACUAAAGUAUCAGCCAACCCCAAAUCCAACUAAACCUACACUAACCCAAUUACCCAUUAACCCAAAACUACCUUAACCCAAAUUGAUAGCCCAGACUUUAGCCCAAUACCCCCAACAUUAUCACAAACCCUAGAAACCCUAGGUUAGCCGCCCCAACCACUCCUCUGACAUCUUGCACCGGCCACCAUUGCCUGCAGUACGCCACCAUCCCCUCAUCACCUGCCCUCUGCACCUACAAAAGAAAGAAGAUGGGACAGAAAGAUAGAAAAAUAGCAACGUAAAUGGCUAUAAAAGCCAAUCUAUAUUUUUGUAAGGGGGGAAUUUUUGCUAUCAAUACAAAGAGGAUUUUUGCUCUUUAAAAAAUACAAAAAAGAAAAGACCAUUCGGCAGUUCAAAAUAUACAGAAAUAAUAAUACAAACAAUAUUUCAAGCAAACAAAAGAGAACGUCACAGAUCAAAGAAUCAGAGGCUAAAAAAAUCAAAAGGUGAUCUCUGUUUUUCUAUUUCUAUUUCUAUUUCGAUUUUUUAAAACCUGUUUUAAUCUACCAUACAUAUUUUAAAAUAUAAUAAUAAAACGAAAAUAACAAAAAAAAAACUAACCUUUUCGAUUUUUCGGCCACCGUGUACGGUGGCCCGCGCCGACGCCGGCUACGAGCCGAUGAUCGGCCGAUGACAUGCCCCCUGGCCGGAUAUCCCCCGGCCGGAGCUCCCUCUCCUUUUCUCUCUUCUUUUUUUUUUCUUUCUCCCCUCUCAAAUGUUUUUUUUUAAAUUUUUUUAACUUAUAUAGGGGACCACCCCCCCCCCCAGUUAAGCUAAAAAC
rnacentral:lncRNA from 1 species